AUUGAACGCUGGCGGCAUGCCUUACACAUGCAAGUCGAACGGCAGCACGGGGCAACCUGGUGGCGAGUGGCGAACGGGUGAGUAAUGCAUCGGAACGUACCUUUCAGUGGGGGAUAACGUAGCGAAAGUUACGCUAAUACCGCAUAUUCUGUGAGCAGGAAAGCAGGGGAUCGCAAGACCUUGCGCUGAUGGAGCGGCCGAUGACAGAUUAGCUAGUUGGUGAGGUAAAGGCUCACCAAGGCGACGGUCGGUAGCGGGUCUGAGGGGAUGAUCCGCCACACUGGAACUGAGACACGGUCCAGGCCCCUACGGGAGGCAGCAGUGGGGAAUUUUGGACAAUGGGGGCAACCCUGAUCCAGCCAUGCCGCGUGAGUGAAGAAGGCCUUCGGGUUGUAAAGCUCUUUCGGCCGGGAAGAAAUCGCACGGGCUAAUACCCUGUGUGGAUGACGGUACCGGAAUAAGAAGCACCGGCUAACUACGUGCCAGCAGCCGCAGUAACAC
rnacentral:rRNA from 1 species